rnacentral:rRNA from 1 species
AAGCAGGGGAUCUUCGGACCUUGCGCUAAUAGAUGAGCCUAAGUCAGAUUAGCUAGUUGGUGGGGUAAAGGCCUACCAAGGCGACGAUCUGUAGCGGGUCUGAGAGGAUGAUCCGCCACACUGGGACUGAGACACGGCCCAGACUCCUACGGGAGGCAGCAGUGGGGAAUAUUGGACAAUGGGCGAAAGCCUGAUCCAGCCAUGCCGCGUGUGUGAAGAAGGCCUUUUGGUUGUAAAGCACUUUAAGCGAGGAGGAGGCUACUUAGAUUAAUACUCUAGGAUAGUGGACGUUACUCGCAGAAUAAGCACCGGCUAACUCUGUGCCAGCAGCCGCGGUAAUACAGAGGGUGCGAGCGUUAAUCGGAUUUACUGGGCGUAAAGCGUGCGUAGGCGGCUUUUUAAGUCGGAUGUGAAAUCCCUGAGCUUAACUUAGGAAUUGCAUUCGAUACUGGGAAGCUAGAGUAUGGGAGAGGAUGGUAGAAUUCCAGGUGUAGCGGUGAAAUGCGUAGAGAUCUGGAGGAAUACCGAUGGCGAAGGCAGCCAUCUGGCCUAAUACUGACGCUGAGGUACGAAAGCAUGGGGAGCAAACAGGAUUAGAUACCCUGGUAGUCCAUGCCGUAAACGAUGUCUACUAGCCGUUGGGGCCUUUGA